AUCCAUUUCAAACUUAUUUUCGGUUAAAAAACACUGAUUUAUAACGUAAAGGAGAAAGAAUCAUCAGCUGUUGGAUUGAUCAGAAGCCAUGGAUUGUCUUCCGGAUUUUCUGCGCUGUGCCGUUGGUUCAUCCCUAAAUCUCUGUGGAAUGCCAAGCCCUGAUCGAAAGUUUCCGUCACAGGAAUGAUGAUAUAGACAGUCAGCC